rnacentral:rRNA from 1 species
GAUGAACGCUGGCGGCGUGCCUAAUGCAUGCAAGUCGAACGAACGGACGAGGAUCUUGCUUCUCUCAUGUUAGCGGCGGACGUGUGAGUAACACGUGGAUACCCUACCUAUCAGACUGGGAUAACUUCGAGAAACCGGAGCUAAUCCCGGAUAAUCUUUUGAACCGCAUGGUUCAAAAGUGAAAGACGGUCUUGCUGUCACUUAUCGAUGGAUCCGCGCUGCAUUAGCUAGUUGGUACGUUAACGGCUUACCAAGGCAACGAUGCAUAGCCGACCUGCGAGGGGGAUAGGCCACACGGGAAGUGAGACAGGGUCAAGAGUACUAAGGGAGGCAGCAGUAGGGAAUCGUCGGCAAUGGGCGAAAGCAUGACGGAGUAACGCGGAGUGAGUGAUGAAGGUGUUGGGAGCGGAAAACUCUGUUAUGAGGGAAGAACAGAUGUGGAAGUAAAUGUGCAGAGCGUGACGGUAACUAAUCAGAAAGCAACGGCUAACUACGUG